rnacentral:rRNA from 1 species
GCUACGGGGGGCACCAGUGGGGAAUAUUGCACAAUGGGCGCAGGCCUGAUGCAGCCAUGCCGCGUGUAUGAAGAAGGCCUUCGGGUUGUAAAGUACUUUCAGCGGGGAGGAAGGUGUUGAGGUUAAUAACCUCAGCAAUUGACGUUACCCGCAGAAGAAGCACCAGCUAAUUCCGUGCCAGCAGCCGCGGUAAUACGGAGGGUGCAAGCGUUAAUCGGAAUUACUGGGCGUAAAGCGCACGCAGGCGGUCUGUCAAGUCGGAUGUGAAAUCCCCGGGCUCAACCUGGGAACUGCAUUAGAAACUGGCAGGCUGGAGUCUUGUAGAGGGGGGUAGAAUUCCAGGUGUAGCGGUGAAAUGCGUAGAGAUCUGGAGGAAUACCGGUGGCGAAGGCGGCCCCCUGGACAAAGACUGACGCUCAGGUGCGAAAGCGUGGGGAGCAAACAGGAUUAGAUACCCCAGUAGUC